rnacentral:snRNA from 1 species
GUGGCCUAUCGAUCCUUUAGAC